AGCAGCGACUAUGUCGUGUAAAGUUCAGGAUAGAGUUAUGAUAAUGACNUUUUCUAUCUGUGUGUCUCGACCAAACUACGUGCCAGCAGUCGCGGUAAUACGUUGGAGACUAGUGUUAGUCGUCUUUAGUAGGUUUAAAGGGUACCUAGACGGUCGUUUCAGCCCCUAAAGGGUACUGUUUGACUAGAGUUUUAUGAGAGGGGGGGUGUACUAAUGGUGUAGAGAUGAAAUUCAGUGAUACCAUUACGAACAGGCAACAGCGAAGGCAACCCUUUAUGUGUAAACUGACGUUGAAGGACGAAGGCUUANUCAACCAACAGGAUUAGAUACCCUANCAGUCUGAGCAGACAAUGAUGAAUGCCAUAGACUGGAAGCAAGUAAAAUAAUAAAAAAUUAUUUUAUUAUAUUUUAGUCUAUAAAUGAAAGUGUAAGCAUUCCACCUCAAGAGUAACGCGGCAACNCGGAAACUGAAAUCAUUAGACCGUUUCUGAAACCAGUAGUGAAGUAUGUUGUUUAAUUUGAUAAUCCGCGGUACACCUUACCACAAUUUGUAUGUUUAGUAAUAAAUACAAGAGUUGCACGGCUGUCUUCAGUUAAUGUCGUGAGAUUUUGGUUAGUUCCAUUAAAUUAACGUAAACCCUUACUUUAUUUUAGUAAAUAGAGUAGUUCACCGCUAUAUUGGAUAUGAUAACAGGGACUAAGACAAGUCAUCAUGGCCGAAUAUUGU
rnacentral:rRNA from 1 species